rnacentral:SRP_RNA from 1 species
ACUGAGUGCAGUGGUGCGGGCCUGUAGUCCCUGCUAUUCAGGAGGCUGAGGCAGGAGGAUCGCUCGUCUAGGAAUUCUGGGCUGUAGUGCACUAUGCUGCUCUUGUGUCCACACUAAGUUUAGCAUUAUUAAUAUGGUGACCUGCUGGGAGCAGGGGAUCACCAGGUUACCUAAAGAGGGGUGAGCCAGCCCAGGUCAGAAAUUAAGCAGGUCAAAACUCCUAUGCUGAUGAGUGAGAUCAUACCUGUGAAUAGACAGACACUUCGCUCCAGCCUGGGCAACAUAGUGAGACCCUGUAUCU